UGGAACAAACGUGGUUCCCCGUUACCACGGAACUACGUCACCAUUUGCUGACAAACGAAAUACAAACGCGCAAAACGGUAACGAAAAAUAGGCAGGAACAGUGUUGCCAAGGGCAUCCACCGUGGGUCAGGAAGUUGACAAACUUAAAAAAAACAUCGUUUACUAGCACAGUUUAAUAAAACAACGGUACAAACAAAGAAGAAAACCCUGAAAGGAAUACGCCUUAGCGACGCUCACGGCUUUUAUGCGUUACAUGUUGGACACGUCACGUCCGGCUCGCUCACCUGCAACGACGGUCUCCGCAGUGUCCCACCUUCCAUACCAACCAACUUGACGCCCUUGACGUUCUUCUUUACCCCGAUGGUGGU